rnacentral:rRNA from 1 species
ACGGGUGAGUAACACGUGGGAACGUACCCUUUACUACGGAACAACUCCGGGAAACUGGAGCUAAUACCGUAUGUGCCCUUCGGGGGAAAGAUUUAUCGGUAAAGGAUCGGCCCGCGUUGGAUUAGCUAGUUGGUGGGGUAAAGGCCUACCAAGGCGACGAUCCAUAGCUGGUCUGAGAGGAUGAUCAGCCACAUUGGGACUGAGACACGGCCCAAACUCCUACGGGAGGCAGCAGUGGGGAAUAUUGGACAAUGGGCGCAAGCCUGAUCCAGCCAUGCCGCGUGUGUGAUGAAGGCCUUAGGGUUGUAAAGCACUUUCACCGGAGAAGAUAAUGACGGUAUCCGGAGAAGAAGCCCCGGCUAACUUCGUGCCAGCAGCCGCGGUAAUACGAAGGGGGCUAGCGUUGUUCGGAAUUACUGGGCGUAAAGCGCACGUAGGCGGAUAUUUAAGUCAGGGGUGAAAUCCCAGAGCUCAACUCUGGAACUGCCUUUGAUACUGGGUAUCUUGAGUAUGGAAGAGGUAAGUGGAAUUGCGAGUGUAGAGGUGAAAUUCGUAGAUAUUCGCAGGAACA